GGGGGGGGGGGGGGGGGGGGCGGGGGCAGGGGGGGCGGGCGGGCGGUGCGGGGUCAGGGGCGGACGGGGGAGUGACGCGGGGGAAGAUGCCCUUCUCUACGGAAUAGUCCGGGGAAACUGGGGGUAGUACCGUAUCCGCCCUUUGGGGGAAAGAUUUAUCGGGGAAGGAUUAGCCCGCGUUGGAUUAGGUAGUUGGUGGGGUAAUGGCCUACCAAGCCGACGCUCCAUAGCUGGUUUGAGAGGAUGAUCAGCCACACUGGGACUGAGACACGGCCCAGACUCCUACGGGAGGCAGCAGUGGGGAAUCUUAGACAAUGGGGGCAACCCUGAUCUAGCCAUGCCGCGUGAGUGAUGAAGGCCUUAGGGUUGUAAAGCUCUUUCAGCUGGGAAGAUAAUGACGGUACCAGCAGAAGAAGCCCCGGCUAACUCCGUG
rnacentral:rRNA from 1 species